ensembl:lncRNA
UCCCAAGAUGGUGACUCUGUUUUGAUGCACUGGCCUUGGGAGGUCAGGAAAGCUAUGACAAAGUGGGUGCAAAGGCUUUUCUGGAACAGAGACAAAGUACAAAAGCCAUGAUGCUGUGAUCAAAGAUGGAGUCACCGGCUGAGCAAAGAGCCUGGCAGGAGAAAAACAGGCUUUACUUCGAGCUUCUCUGUCACAUACGCCUUUCCCCUACCCACCUCACUGGCCCAACACUGAGAAGAAGAAAGAAGAAUUGAUCAAGGCUCCCCGGCCCUUGGGGAGGCAUCACACACAGCAUCAGUCAUGCAGUCGUGGGUGUUAAGUUGAAAAAAAAAUGAAUACUCUCCACCCCAAACUAAAUGGAAUGAAAGAAGGAAAUACUUGCGUAUGAAUAGCAGGCUGCCCUCUCAAGAUAGCUCCACCAUCUGGAGGCGAGCCCAGGAGGCAGGAGAGGGAACUGUUCCUGAGUUUCUUAAUCACAGCUCUCAGGGGGCAUCCGCUGCAGCCAGCUGCCCACGACCUCAGCACACAGCUCUUGGCACAACUGCUGGCAGCCCAGCUGUGUUCUGCAUGACCGAAUCGGACACCUCUCACUUCCUCUGAGAACGGAACUUGGUGUUUGGAUGACGUGCGGGCAAGUCGUUUGUGCAAAAUAGCACAUCUCUAUCGUCGGUCUCCCACCCCAACCCCAGGCCUAAAGAAAGACAAGAAACAGAAAAAAAGCAACACCUGAGAGGAAUCCGGCUUCCAACGAGUACAGACAUUCUUAGCCCUGAGCGUUGCCUGCAGGACUGGAGAGUGACUGUGAUCACUCCUGAUUGCUGCUCAAAUCUCAGGUCAAUGUCUUCCAGGCUGUGUGACCCAGGCCAGAAGGUCACUGAAAUAACACUGGGCUUAACUGACCCAGAAAGGAGCACUUCAUCCUAGCCUUCAUCUUCUUCAUCUUCUCGGGACAACACGAGGCAUACCAACUUGGGUGGCACAGGUGGCGUCCAGCACCCAGCAGGUGCCUCCUCCAGGGCAACAAGAAGAGCUGGCCCUGUUGGAGGGCUCAGUGGCUGGACUGUGGCCCACACUGAUGAACGAAUCCUCCAGGAGUGAGACUCCUUUGGAGUUAUUGGCUGGUGAAAAUAAGCAAAGGACUGCAAAGAUCCACGGGUCAUGUGAGGCAGUCUGGUCUGCGGCAGCUGACAGCAGAGACUCCAGGAGGCCGAGGAAGGCACCCGCUCUCCUCCCACGGGUCUGCUCAGGACUACAGACCUUUCAAGGGAUCAGGUCCAUGUGACAGCAGCCACCAAGAGUCCCCAGCUGAAGGAUCCAGCCUCUGCCCACCUGCCCAUCAAACAUGGAGGCUCCAGGAAUUGUCAUCACAGGAAAGGCCAAGAGUCAGAAAGAUCAGCUGAGCCACCCCCCACCCCAGGCAGCUUCCUUAUAAGGAAGAAGAAGAGGAGCAGGAGGACGAAGUCAUGGCUUCUAGAGGCUCAUCCCUAAGAUGUCCUAGUGGAAGAAGCCAGAGUUCUGUCUCCAGGGGCUUUGUGCAAGACCUGGGGUGGGGUGGGGUCACUACCAGCCCCUAUCUUUGGCCCCUCCCUCUCACCCUAACCCUCUCUGCCUCAAGGUGGCUAGGAGCACAGUCUGUAAGUCUCGUGACACUCCAUAUUAUCAUUAGGUUGAGUUUGCAACAUAAGCCUCAGUUUUGCUGUUCUGGAAUGCCUUCUGAAUAUGCCUGAGUAAUGUCUUCCUCUGGUUUUGAUGUUUAUUCCAAGGAGGAAUGUCACUGGAAUGCAUCUUCUACUGACACCCAGGCUACUGGUCCUCAACCUUGAGGCUGACCAAGCUGGCUUACCCAUUGGAUAAUGUGGUUUGCCAGGUAUGGGCCAGGUUGAGCAUGUCUCCAAGACAAGCAGCACAGUUAGGGACACAGUCUGUGGCCAUAAUGAUUACAAUAGAAAUGAACAAGUAGCUAGUUUCUUAAAGCAUGUCCCAUAUACUCAGCUCUGAGCCAAUGGAAACCCAUGCAGGAUCUGAUCUCAUCAUCUUAGGCAAACUGAUUAGUUACCAAUAUCCCCAUUUUACGGAUGAGAAAAUGAAAGCUCUAAAACUGAGAAAACUUGAAGGAGAACAAGAUGGUAGAGGAGUAGGUGGACGUGGAGUACAUCUUUCUCCAUGGAUACAUCAGGAAUACACCUUCAGACACAGAAGUGCAUGCAGAACACCAGCUGAGAGCAUACAGGAGUACCUGACCAGAGGAAAAGAAUAUAUAGAACCACUCCAAACUUGAGAUCAAGCCCUGAGCCUUUGGAGUGGGACCGCUGACUCCAAGACCCUAGACUACCAGAGAACUAAUCCUAGGGAGUAUCAAAUAGUGAGAACUCACACAAAGGAAACCGCUUGAAUACAAAACCCAGCAUCACCCAACCACCAGUAGCACCCUGUGCAGGACGCCUCAUCUAAACAACAAACUAAGAAAAAUACAAACCCAGUCAUCAGCAGACAGGAUUACCACCUCAUUCAGCCUUGCCCAUCAGAGAAAAACAAACAAACAAAAACUCAGCACAAAUCUCACCAUAUACAAAGCUUAGAC